AUACGGAGGGUGCAAGCGUUAUCCGGAUUUACUGGGUUUAAAGGGUGCGCAGGCGGGUUUGUAAGUCAGUGGUGAAAGCCUGGAGCUUAACUCCGGAACUGCCAUUGAUACUGCAAAUCUUGAGUACAGUUGAGGUGGGCGGAAUGCAGCAUGUAGCGGUGAAAUGCUUAGAUAUGCUGCAGAACACCGAUUGCGAAGGCAGCUCGCUAAACUGUAACUGACGCUGAGGCACGAAAGCGUGGGGAGCGAACAGGAUUAGAAACCCCAGUAGUCC
rnacentral:rRNA from 1 species